GAUGAACGCCGGCGGCGUGCCUAACACAUGCAAGUCGAACGGAAUUUACGAAGUUUUCGGACAGAGUAAGUUUAGUGGCGGACGGGUGAGUAACGCGUGGGUAACCUGCCUCAUACAGGGGGAUAACAGCUGGAAACGGCUGCUAAAACCGCAUAAGAUUGUAGUGCCGCAUGACACAGCAAUCAAAUAUUUAUAGGUAUGAGAUGGGCCCGCGUCUGAUUAGCUAGUUGGUGGGGUAAUGGCCCACCAAGGCGACGAUCAGUAGCCGGCUUGAGAGAGUGACCGGCCACAUUGGGACUGAGACACGGCCCAAACUCCUACGGGAGGCAGCAGUGGGGAAUAUUGGGCAAUGGGCGCAAGCCUGACCCAGCGACGCCGCGUGAGUGAAGAAGUAUUUCGGUAUGUAAAGCUCUAUCAGCAGGGAAGAUAAUGACAGUACCUGACUAAGAAGCCCCGGCUAACUACGUGCCAGCCGCCGCAGUAACAC
rnacentral:rRNA from 1 species